CCUACGGGAGGCAGCAGUGGGGAAUAUUGGGCAAUGGGCGCAAGCCUUACCCAGCAAUACCGCGUGAGUGAAGAAGGUCUUCGGAUUGUAAAGCUCUUUGAUCAGGGACGAACAGAUGACGGUACCUGAAGAACAAGCCCCGGCUAACUACGUGCCAGCAGCCGCGGUAAAACGUAGGGGGCGAGCGUUGUCCGGAAUGACUGGGCGUAAAGGGUGCGUAGGCGGCAUAAUAAGUUAGAAGUGAAAUACCCAGAGCUUAACUCGGGUGCUGCUUCUAAGACUGUUGAGCUUGAGUGCGGGAGAGGUUAAUGGAAUUCCUAGUGUAGCGGUGGAAUGCGUAGAUAUCACGAAGAACUCCGAUUGCGAAGGCAGCUUACUAAACUGCCACUGACAUUGAUGCUCGAAAGUGUGGGUAUCAAACAGGAUUAGAUACCCUUGUAGUC
rnacentral:rRNA from 1 species